GUGGUGUUGAAGGUGAGAUUUUUUUAAGGGGAGCCUUUGUAAUUGUUUGCUCUCUGAGCCUAAGAUGGCAAUAGUGGGCACAGGCCCACUAAGAACAGUGACGAAAGUAACUUUAUAAACUCAGACUACACGACAAUUAAGACCCAAACUGGAAUUAGAUACCCCACUAUGCUUAAUUGUAAACCCAGGUAAUUAAAUAACAAAAUUACUCGCCAGAGAACUACGUGCCACAGCCCAAAACUCAAAGGACUUGGCGGUGCUUUAUAUCCAUCUAGAGGAGCCUGUCCUGUAAUCGAUAAACCCCGAUAUACCUCACCAUCCCUUGCUAAUUCAGCCUAUAUACCGCCAUCUUCAGCAAACCCUAAAAAGGACGACAAGUAAGCUCAAUCAUCCUACAUAAAAAAGUUAGGUCAAGGUGUAGCCUAUGGGGUGGGAAGUUAUGGGCUACAUUUUCUAGUCCAGAAUACAACGCCAACUCACAUGAAACUAUGAGUCUAAGGAGGAUUUAGCAGUAAGUCGGAAAUAGAGAGUCCGACUGAAUUAGGCCAUAAAGCACGCACACACCGCCCGUCACCCUCCUCAACUACUACUAAUCACAACUACAUAAUUACCCAUAUACACACAAGAGGAGAUAAGUCGUAACAAGGUAAGUGUACUGGAAAGUGCACUUGGAAUAAAACCAAA
rnacentral:ncRNA from 1 species